GGAGGGAAAGUGAUCGGGGACGCUGCUGGAGGCCGCUGGGGUGGAGGCGCGCCAUCGUCGGAGCCGUACAGUGGAGAACGGAGGGACGUCCGCACUUUAAGGGCGUGCGGACGUCUGCCUCUGAUCCCGACUGUAUAUAUAUAUAUAUCCGAAAACGAUAUGAAGCGCACGUGCGCACUGUCCUUAAAGUACGCACGUCCCUCCGUUCGCCACCGUCCGGCGCCGACGACUGCGCGCCUCCACCCCAGAAGACUCCAGCAGCAUCCCCGACCACUUUCCCUCCUCGGCGAGUCCGUUUUUUUCCAGUUUUCCAGCGAGAUCGACUUUGUUUAAAGUUUUGGGUGAUCUCGCCGAAAAACGUACUGGAAAAGAAUGGACUCGUUGGGGAGGGAAAGUGGUCGGGGACGCUGCUGGAGUCUUCUGGGGUGAAGGCGCACCGUCGUCGGAGCCAGAGGGUGGAGAACGGACGGACGUCCGCACUUUAAGGCCAGUGCGGACGUCUGCUCCUGAUCCGGCCUCUAUAUAUAUAUACAUAGUUCAUAUCCAAAAUGAAGCUUCGUUCUGAAAUUAAUGUGUGAAGUUCCUUGUUUGACUAAUUUUUCAGUCAUAUUUUCAUACCUCAACCGUUCAGUCGUUUGUAAAACCUAAUACAUAUAUCAUUUCUGUAAAGUUUCUGUUUUCUUUCUUUCUUUUUUUCGAUGAUGUUGUUUUUGCAUGCAGUUCAUUCACACAAGAUUGAAAUUCAGAUUAAUUAAGCAAGGUCAAAAAUUCUAUCGUCGAUCUUCCCUUGGGUAAGAGAAGGAACAUGAAACAAAAACACUUGGUAGCUAGAGACACCAAUUGACCAAACCAAGUGUCGAUCAUUUAACCAGUAGUAACGAGGCUUGAUUAUCUUUUGUACUUCAAAAUAAUAAGUACUCUGAACAUGUUCAAUUAUUCUCAUUUGCCGUCGUCUAUUAUCUAAAUAUAUCUAGCUAGCAAUUGUUUCUUGUUUGGCAAGCUGCUUCUUUCAUUCCCACUUUGGAUUUUAAUUUCCACCAUUUUUUAAUAUAAAACACCAAUGACUGUUAACUUGUGUUCAUGAGCAAAGCUUCUGGGAAAUUCUCCAAUUACUAUUAACAGAAAACGCCAACAUAUUCGUUUCUUUAAAUAUAUGAUUUGGCUAAUAUGUCAACAUGUAUAAAAGACAGGGAAAAAGCCCUAAUGCAUAAAAUAGAAAAAGUCAAACCCUAUUUUAAUGAUAAUCUUUUUUAUUAGCCCAUUUGAAUACAAGGUACUUAUUUUAAGCCCAAAUACACAAAUUUUUAUUAAAAUAUAAUAAAAUUAUAUUUUUAAAGACUUUUUACCCUUACCUUUUACUUAAAGAGAAAAAAUGAA
rnacentral:lncRNA from 1 species